UGGGGAAUAUUGCACAAUGGGGGAAUCCCUGAUGCAGCGACGCCGCGUGAACGAAGAAGGUAUUCGUAUCGUAAAGUUCUGUCCUAUGGGAAGAUAAUGACAGUACCAUAGAAGAAAGCUCCGGCUAAAUACGUGCCAGCAGCCGCGGUAAUACGUAUGGAGCGAGCGUUGUCCGGAAUUAUUGGGCGUAAAGGGUACGCAGGCGGUUUAAUAAGUCGAAUGUUAAAGAUCGGGGCUCAACCCCGCAAAGCAUUGGAAACUGAUAGACUUGAGUAGUGGAGAGGAAAGUGGAAUUCCUAGUGUAGUGGUGAAAUACGUAGAUAUUAGGAGGAAUACCAGUAGCGAAGGCGACUUUCUGGACACAAACUGACGCUGAGGUACGAAAGCGUGGGGAGCAAACAGG
rnacentral:rRNA from 1 species